rnacentral:lncRNA from 1 species
GCCACAGGAGCAAUCCUUAGCUAUGAUAUUCGCUGGUUCUCUACUAUCAAUACAGUUGCAGCCAUGUACUGCCAUCUUUGAAGGGCUUUGUGCAAGGCAGUCUGAGAAUAAAAAGAAAAAGAACAGUGUUUACUGGGGAGGGGAUGGAAAAGGUCUCUGCCAAGCAAUUCGAAUCCUACUCCAGUGGACCCUCCAGGAGUGAGCUAUGUCUCUUACAACAGCUGUGAUGGUUAGAAAACAUUAACCAGAGAUCACAUCUGUUUGCCUGACAAUACCCUGGUUGCAUUUACCUCUUUUAUAUGGACCUAUUGGAUCUGGAAGAAGAUUGUUACAGUCACAGUGGGGACUUUAACCACCUCUGCAUUUAUUCUGAUUUGUUUCCCAACUUGUAACGUGAUACUCUUUGCAAUAUAAUGUCAUUUAUCCAUUCCACCUACCUAUUCUACAGUGCCAUACAAAUCCUGUAACUAUAAGAAUAAAUCCCCAAAGAAACAGGUAUAAUUUUAAAUG